rnacentral:lncRNA from 1 species
AUUAAAAGCCAUGUGAUCUUAAACUUCAUUAAAAAAAAAUACAGCAAAAUGCUAUAAGCUAUACCAUGAUACCAUUUUCAGUGGGAUAGAAAUUCAUGGAAUUUAUAUUGGUAACCUGGAGUCAGAAUUGGAGAGAAGGGUUACCAUCUGAAUGUCAGAAACACAUCUUAAUUAUAAAUAUACAAUUUAGGAUCCACCAAAAAUUCAGUAUGAGGACUGGAAUGAAGAAUGACAGCUCAGGCAUUUAGCUUUAUGAUAAAUGACUUCACUCUGAGAGGAUUCCACUAUAGUAUUGAAAGUGCAUUAUAUUAUGGUAAAAAAGAAAAUGUCAAAACAGUUUCCCGGAUUUGAGGAGAAAAUGUGCUGCAUCAUAUGUCUUGAUCAGCCUGUCUUUUAUUAAAUCUCUGAAUAUUGACUAGUCUUAUGCUACUGUAAAUGUAUUUCUUUCCAAGGCAUAGGGAAUGUUUUAAUAAUAUAAUCUUGACUAUUUCUGAAAUCUCAGGGUUGACCCCUUUAUGUUGAAAAGUCUUAGACUCUCAUCCAGUUCAAUCUAUCAGGCUGAGAAGCCAAUUUUGAAAAGCACAGACCUUAGGAAGGACUGUGGAAUAGGUUGUAGGCUGCCAAGAACUAUAUGGGGCUGCCCAAUGCCAGCCCAGGAGUAAGAUUAAAGGAUGUGCCUAUUUUCCCUCAACUAAGGCAUAAAAUUGUGAAUCAUUGUUUAUAAUAGAUCACACUAUAAAAUAUCAAUUAACUCAAAUGGUGCGAAAUGGUUGAUAUUUUGGUUACCUGGAAGUGAACAGAAAACCCCUUUAUUUAGUACAACCACCUUUUGGGAAUUCUAGGUCACAGAAUUCAACAUUUCUCUAAGGAAUGAGGACCAGGAGAAGCUUAUCAAAUAGGACUUAGCAAAAUAAGACACUUUCCAAGAUAACCUUCUACCAGGACACAUUUAUUAGGGAUCUCUUUUGUAUAUUCCUACCCACUACCACUUUCAAGCUUGUAACUUAGUAUGACGUGAGAUUUGUGACCCCCAUUUUACAGAUGAGGGUUGUUGAGGUUUUGAGACUUGCUAGAACCACGAUGUUCACUGUCUUUACGUCCUAGUUGUUUACAACUCUAAAUCCACUUUCUUCCUGGGCUAUUCUUCCUCAGUUUAAAUUCUGGCCCACAUGUUCCAUCAGCCAAAUUGGCAAUGCUCUCAAAGAGACUUUGAAAGAAGCACAGUGCAUCCCUGUGGCCAGUAUGAUAAACAGCAGGAAGCAAGCUUUCACAUUUUAAGCAAAGGGAAAACUUAACAGCAUGUAAUAGUGGCAACCUUAAGAACACUUGAAAUAUGUUGUCCCUAAAUUAAGAUCUUGGAAACUCAUAUAAAAGGCUUCUUCUCUUUUAGGAGGUUUUCAUUUUUUCUGGUUUUUGUUUUGAUUUAUUUUUAUUAAAGUUUGGGUUUGUGUAUGUAUGCAUUUUGCAAUAUAAGAUUUUCUUUUAUUUUUAUAAUUUCCUACAUGACAUACCAUAGUAAAAAAACUUUUACACGCCUAAUUUCAUUUAAUCCUCACAAUGGCCUUAUGAUAUUAGUGCUACUAAUUACCACUAUUCCUCAUUCUCUAAUGAAGGAAACUGAAUUUCAGAGAUGCCAUGUAACAUGACUGGUUAUGCCGUGGAAGCUAGGACUCCAGCUCAGGAUUAUAGGAGCUGAGACAACAUGAUUAUUUGAAAUGCUAAUAAAAUUAAUCAAGAGUUUGCUCACAUAUUUGACAUAAUUGAUCAUUGAUGACAUCUCUUGAGCCUCAAUUCUUAUGCAGAGCUUCGCUAGCUUCACCCAAGACAAAUGUACAGUCGCUAAAGCCCUUCAAAGCACCUACAAGGAUCUUUCCUUUUACCAUCUAGAGCAGUUGCAGGCCAGACUCUGAGAAGAUUCUAUUACCCUUAAGUGGAAUACAUCAUGAGAAUCAAUCAAAGUCAGUAACUUCCUACUAACAGACUGUUUGAAAACAUUUUACAUCAUCGUUCCAUUGGAUAUUUUAACGGUUUGUCAAGCAGGUAAAAUUCUGUCUUGUUUCAGAGAAAGAAACUGAAAAGCCAACUAACCUCUGGGCACAUGUUGAAUAUAACCACGGAGGACCUACUUCAAAAAACAUAAAUAAAUCCAAAAAAUGGAGUUGGAUUACCCUUUUUCUUUUCAUAGAGGAACUCUGGGAUUCCCAGACACAAGACUCUAAAUCUGUUUUCUAAAGAACAAUGGGGGAGAGAUGGUUAAGAUACCACAAAGACAAUUAUUUCAUGGACCUUCAGCAUUAGGCAUGCCAUUCAUCUUCUAUGUGAUUAUGAAGUAUGGUCAAUUACAACGUAGUUUAUCCAAAUUGAUAAGGUUGCUACAGAAGAAUUUCAUGACUAAACACUAUUUUAUGUUGAGGAUAUUUGCUACGUAUGCACUUAGACAAAACACCAAAUGUAUUUCCUUUAAGAAUGGGGUAAAGAGGGAUAUGAGACAAAUGCUAUAGAGCUGAGGGAAAAGAAUCACUUAAAAGAGUAAAAAUUUGGAUUGUCUGACCAAUGGCUCAGAUAAAAUUGAGGUCAUUGAUUAAAAUGGGGACACAGAAUUCAAAGAAUCAUAGGCUAUAGAUAUGUUUAAGCUGAAAAGAAGCUAAGUAUACAUUUCCUUCAAGAACUUCAAAUGAACAAAAUAACCCAAAAUAAUCAAGUGCCUUGCCUGAGGUCACACAACUCUUGGAUAGUAAAAUGGUCUCAAUUUUCACGGCUACCAGUUCUGUUAUUACCGAAACUCUCCACUUCUCUCAACUGCCCAUUUUAUUGUCAUAUAGGUACUGAAAAAUCAAAUAACAAAUAAAUAGCUGUACCAAUUCAGCCAGAUACAAAAUACCACUUUUUUUUUUCCUUCCUUCAUUGCCUUACUUUGCCCCAGUUUAACCAUUCUCUUUGUCAAGUUUUCAUUUUAUGUUUUGAUUUCCAUUGUUUCUUCCUCUUGGUUAUCUUCCUGGACCUCUCUUCUACUUAGUGAAAAUCUUUUAAGGAAAUGUGUGUUAAGAGGUUUCUGGCGGAAACAUCUAUUUCGAUCAAUAAGAUAGUCAUAGCAACUCCUUUCAAGAGUAUUUACAAAUUCAGUUGAUUCUGCCCCAUUUAGUGCAGGCUGUGGAUCAGGUACUAUGCAGUGUGCUUUACAGGUGUUUUUUCCAUUCACUCCUCAAUUCCAUUCCCACAGAUAAGGAAAAGGAAGGUCAGGGAAGUUAAUAAUUAUAAGACCUGGGCUAUUCACUUACGUGGUGGGUUCAGAAUUCAAACUCAGAUCUCAAUCCAUCAGUAAGUACAUCUUAUUUUGAUGCAAAAAGGAACUUAAGUUUUCCAUUCUAAAAAGUAGGCUUCCGCAAGCUGUUUCUUUUCUCAGCCUCUGCAAGUUAUGAAUUUAUAAACAGAUGAAACCAUGACAGUAGAUGAAGCUAUCCCCAUUUUCUUUGACCAUUUCCAUCUUAUUAAAAUUUUAAACAUAUUAAUUACUAAUUAGACAAACCUAGAUGGCAAUCACAGAGAUUUAAUUUAUCCAAUAUCAUUUAUCUGAGGGUGAGAUUUGUCACUUGGAAAUGAUAAUUAACUCAUCAAAAAUGUUUUGGGAUUGGAAGGAAAAAAUUAAAAGGAAGUACUCAGGAUUUAUGCUAAAAAAAAAGCAGCAGAGAAUCUCACUGUUACUGAAAAUAUGAGUGCAAGGCAAAACAGCUUUCCAAUAGGUAUUAUUUUGUGCUUCCAAAGCUAAGAAUUCUUAGUAAAGAGGACACAAUUCCAGAAAGAUCUCUGGAUAUUAUAACACUUUAUUAUUUUUUUUUUAGGGCCCACCUUCGGCUCAUGGAGGUUCCCAGGCUAGGGGUCGAAUUGGAGCUGUAGCUGCUGGCCUACGCCACAGCCACGCCAGAUCCAAGCCACAUCUGCAACCUAGACCACAGCUCAGGGCAAUACCCGGAUCCUUAACCUACUGAGUAAGACCAGUGAUGGAACCUGCCCCCUCAUGGAUGCUAGUCAGAUUCAUUUCUGCUGAGUCACGACGGCAACUCCUACUUUAAUGUAAGCUUAGUGGUUUGUAAAUAUUGGUUUUCUAAUGCCUAAGAGAAUUAGAAUUUGAUUUUCAAAGACCUUUUUUGUUGUUGUUGUUGUUCUUAUUUUUUCUGUUUUCUAAGGAAGAGGUAAACUAUGUCUAUACUAAGUCUUUUUAUAUUGUCUCUCUGCCUCUAUAACAUACAAACACUGAAGACAGACACAGAGUAAGUAACAAAUUGUAUUAUCAAUGAUACUGAGCAAAGAAUGUUAGCUUUUUUUUCUUCAAAGUUUAUUGAGAGCUUAU